UGCGUGCGCCCAUAGCAACGGAGGAGCGGAGCGGAGCUGUGAGGAGGAGGCGCUGAGGCCGGAAUGGAAAUAAAAUUGUCAAUGACCCUUAGAAGGUAAAUAAACUGUAUGCACUCGUAUGUACCUAUCCUGCUCUGGACAGAGGUGUCAGCAGAGAGCACUGUGGUCAGACAGAAAGGAAAUUCAAAAAGAAAAGAACUUCCUCUGUAGUACACAGCAGCUGAUCGCCGUAAUGGUCCGUAAUGACUCAACCAAUGUCUAAGAAUGUUAGAAAAAGGCUUGGAUUUUGGAGUUGCACCUACUGCAGGGGUGUAGUCCCGGGUGUUCUAGUCUGGUUCAAUCUAUGUAAGAACACGAGACAACUGUAUGUAAGAAUACACUGACAAUUGUUACCAACCAGUGACCUAGAAGCCUCACUGACCUGAAGAAAUUAUUACAAAUUAUAGCAAUUUUUCAAUAAGAUAUUAAAUCCUCAUCCUUAAAGAG